rnacentral:snRNA from 1 species
AAUAUACAAAAUAUAGAGGA